AUGGAUUAGUUUCUUACUUGUUCCUUAGUUCUUUGCUGUAGGGCUGGACAAAACAUUAUCAACCGGUGAUAACCGCCCGAUCCGUUUCAUUUAUUUGGCAUUCGGUCGGAUUUGAACGGUUUUCGGGUCUAGUCGGAUGGUUAAUUAGGAUAUAAUUGGGUUGGACCGGUUCGGUUCGGGUGACUAUUUUGGGUCCGUCGGAAACCGAACCCGACCAAAUUUAAAUGAUAUUUUAUAUUAAUUAUUUAUUAUUUAUUAUUUAUAUCACCCAUUAGUAUCUUUCUCUCACUCUUAAACUUACUCACAUAGAAAACCCUAGAUCAUUCUCUCUCAUUUCCUCUUCUUUCCUUAGUCUCAGCCGCCGUCAUCGUUACCCCCUCCUCUCUCUUUGGUUUCACUCAUAUUCAUCUUCCUCUCUCACCGUCGCCUCACCACCCAUUCAUCCUUACCACCUUCUCACUGCAUGUAGCCUUCAUGUAUUGCUUUACAAUCACUUUGAUGAGUUGAUUUGAUGGAACCAAAGGUGGAUCUACGACUUUGAGGACAUGAACUUCUACGAAAGAUCUAGUGUUUGGAGAAGAUCUGGUGUUUCUGAGGAUAUUCAGAGUCAACUCAAUUCAAGGUGGACAACGAUGAGAAACAACACAAGAACCCUCAUAAGGUAAAUAGAUUUUAGGAGUUUUGGCAUAUUCCAGGCCCUGCAUUCAUCGCAGCAACUUUUAACGGUUGUUUUCUAGCAUUUAUCUUGUGGAGAUCUACGAUUUCAAUUGCUUUUCAUGGAGCUCUCGGCUGUCACUCAACGACUUAUUGGAAGAUAAAAAGACACUUCAUUAGAGAUGGAUUUAUUUACAAAACAAGCAUUAGAGUUGGAUCUUGCUGUGGAUUACUGUCAAAGAAAAAUAUAAAGAAUCUGUGGAGAAAAGACAUAUUCAUGUCUUUAUUUAUAAAAUUAAUUGUCACAACUCACAAUUGAAGGACUGAGCAACAGUUGAUAUUUACUAUAUAUUUUCUAAUGUUUUAAUUUUAAUAAUAGAAGAAGAGGGAAGAUGUAUGUGGCAAAGAAGGUGCGAUAAUGUUAUUAGAGAUUUUAGAAGAUCGGGACUGAAAUUAUAUGUGUAAGGAUGAGAAAAUUUUUCGUAAUCAUAAUGCUAAUGUAUAAUAAGUUUAAGUUUGGGUUGGAUGUGAGUUAGUAAAAUUUAGGUUGUAACAUAGUGCGGUUUGAUUCGGUUUACAAAAUACAAACCGCAAACCGAACCGAACCGUGCGGUUUUGUAAAAACUAACCCAAACUAAUCCGAACCAAAUGCGGUUUUUUGCGGUUUCUAUUGGGUUGGUUUGGUUUUGAUCACCCCUACCUGCCAUAUAGUUUUAUUUUGUUUUUAUUUUUUGUUAAUAUAGGUUAAACAUGUUAAAAAUUUGUUGGAGGUAGGAAUUGA